rnacentral:sRNA from 1 species
GGAAGUAAAAGUCGUAACAAGGUUUCCGUAGGUGAACCUGCGGAAGGAUCAUUAAUGAGUUAGGGUCUUCUAGGCCCGACCUCCCAACCCUUUGUUUACUAGACCUCAGUUGCUUCGGCAGGUCCGUCUUAAAUCUGACCGCUGGAGGACCGCUCAAUGCGGGCGUUGCCUCUGGCCAGUGUCUGCCGAUAGCCUAAUCUCCUAACUCUGGAUCAAUCAUGAUUUACAAUGUCUAAGUGAUUUUAUUCAAUUAAAAGCAAAAACUUUCAACAACGGAUCUCUUGGUUCUGGCAUCGAUGAAGAACGCAGCGAAAUGCGAUAAGUAAUGCGAAUUGCAGAAUUCCAGUGAGUCAUCGAAUCUUUGAACGCACAUUGCGCCCUUUGGUAUUCCGAAGGGCAUGCCUGUUCGAGCGUCAUUAUCACCCCCUCAAGCCCCUGUGCUUGGUGUUGGACGGCUUGGUGGAGCAAGUUCACACUUUCCACCCCUCCUAAAGACAAUGACGGCGGCCUGCGGAACCCCCGGUACACUGAGCUUCUUAACUGAGCACGUAUCGGAUGAAGGGUGCCCGGGACCCGGUCUUCUCCCUCACGGGAACACUUUUUUUCUAAGGUUGACCUCGGAUCAGGUAGGAAUACGCGCUGAACUUAAGCAUAUCAAUAAGCGGAGGA